AUUGAACGCUGGCGGCAGGCCUAACACAUGCAAGUCGAGCGGAUGAAGGGAGCUUGCUCCUGGAUUCAGCGGCGGACGGGUGAGUAAUGCCUAGGAAUCUGCCUGGUAGUGGGGGAUAACGUCCGGAAACGGGCGCUAAUACCGCAUACGUCCUGAGGGAGAAAGUGGGGGGUCUUCGGACCUCACGCUAUCAGAUGAGCCUAGGUCGGAUUAGCUAGUUGGUGGGGUAAAGGCCUACCAAGGCGACGAUCCGUAACUGGUCUGAGAGGAUGAUCAGUCACACUGGAACUGAGACACGGUCCAGACUCCUACGGGAGGCAGCAGUGGGGAAUAUUGGACAGUGGGCGAAAGCCUGAUCCAGCCAUGCCGCGUGUGUGAAGAAGGUCUUCGGAUUGUAAAGCACUUUAAGUUGGGAGGAAGGGCAGUAAGUUAAUACCUUGCUGUUUUGACGUUACCAACAGAAUAAGCACCGGCUAACUUCGUG
rnacentral:rRNA from 1 species